rnacentral:rRNA from 1 species
UACAGAGGUGGCAAGCGUUGUUCGGAAUUACUGGGCGUAAAGGGCGCGUAGGCGGCCUUGUAAGUCCUGUGUGAAAUCCCCCGGCUCAACUGGGGAACUGCACAGGAGACUGCUUGGCUUGAGUUCGGGAGAGGGAAGCGGAAUUCCGGGUGUAGCGGUGAAAUGCGUAGAUAUCCGGAGGAACACCGGUGGCGAAGGCGGCUUCCUGGACCGACACUGACGCUGAGGCGCGAAAGCAUGGGGAGCGAACAGG